rnacentral:rRNA from 1 species
GACGAACGCUGGCGGCGUGCUUAACACAUGCAAGUCGAACGGAAAGGCCCCUUUGGGGGUACUCGAGUGGCGACCGGGUGCGUAACACGUGCGUAACCUGCCCUUGACUUCGGGAUAACUUCAAGAAACUGGGGCUAAUACCGGUUAGGAAUACUUGCUGCAUGGUGGGGGUUGGAAAGCUUCGGCGGUCUUGGCUGGACUCGCGGCUUAUCAGCUUGUUGGUGGGGUUGUGGCUUACCAAGGCGUCGACGGGUAGCCGGCCUGAGAGGGCGACCGGCCACAUUGGGACUGAGAGACGGCCCAGACUCCGACGGGAGGCAGAAGGGGGGAAUAUUGCACAAUGGGCGGAAGCCUGAUGCAGCAACGCCGCGUGCGGGAUGACGGCCUUCGGGUUGUAAACCGCUUUCAGCAGGGGCGAAGCUUGUGGUGACGGUACCUGCAGAAGAAGCACCGGCUAACUACGUG